rnacentral:lncRNA from 1 species
AAUAAAGAUAAAAUCAUGAACUUAUGAAAUCAAGGAUAGGAAAACAGUAGAUCUAAGAAGUCAAACUCCUAUUUAAAAAAAAAUUACAAAAUAGUAAAAUCACUGGUUGCUUAACCUAGAGAAAAAGGAAGGAAGCACAGGGGCUGGCCCAGUGGCAUAGUGGUUAAGUUUGUGUGCUCUGCUUCGGUGGCCUGGGCUUCGUGGGUUGGGACCCUGGGCACUGACCUACACACCAUUCUUCAGGCCAUGCUGUGGCAGCAUCUCACUUACAAAGUAGAGGAAGAUCAGCACAGACAUUAGCUCAGGGACAAUCUUCCACAAGCAAAAAAGAGGAAGAUUUGCAACAGGGCCAAUCUUCCUCACAAAAAAAAAAAAAAAAAAAGAAAGCACAAAUAAAUAAAAUGAAGUAUCAUGGGGGAAAUCACCACUGAAAGAGAAAAAAUAGUCCUGAGACUACUUUGCAGACCUGCUUCUUUUCUCACCCCUUUUUGCUGCUGUCCUGACUGCCUAGGUCCUGAGGAUGAGGAGGCUGAGUGAGGGAUGAGGCUGUCGGAUGAAGGUGCAGUUGCUGUUUGGCUGAGGACCAAGGCAACCAUCUACUUACUGUCUUCCCUGAUACACAGUGGGGCUGUUAUUUUCAAGGCUCGUGGGGAACAAUGUUUCAGCUUUACCGGGAAGGGCUGCAAAUAAACAUCAUGAGAAUUAAAGUACAGACUCUUUAAGCAGCUGAUCUGCUAAACCAAUCAGAAAAGAUUCUUCCUAAACUUGAACCGGAUCUCAGAGAGGACAGGCCAGAUGGAGCUAGAGGAGAGCAGGGAGGAUGCACAGAGGAAAUGCACAGACCCCCUGGGUGUUACCUUCCCCGUGUGACCAUGAAUGCACAAGUGCAGCCACCCUGGCCUGAGAAGGGUGUGGUUACACCUCAGCGACAAGGAUUCGUGUCACCACCAGGCAGGAGGACCGGGAGCCUUUCAAGAAAGACUUGUUGAUCUACUCAUUUUACCUGAACCAGAAAUCGAGUUCAUAGCAGGAAUUCCAGGGUAAUAGAGUGACUCAAGCCGAAGUG